rnacentral:rRNA from 1 species
UACGAAGGGGGCUAGCGUUGUUCGGAUUUACUGGGCGUAAAGCGCACGUAGGCGGAUUGUUAAGUCAGGGGUGAAAUCCUGGAGCUCAACUCCAGAACUGCCUCUGAUACUGGCAAUCUCGAGUCCGGAAGAGGUGAGUGGAACUCCUAGUGUAGAGGUGGAAUUCGUAGAUAUUAGGAAGAACACCAGUGGCGAAGGCGGCUCACUGGUCCGGUACUGACGCUGAGAGACGAAGCUAGGGGAGCGAAUGGG